CCCUUAGAUGUCCUGGGCCGCACGCGCGCUACACUGAUGCAUGCAACGAGUUUAUAACCUUGGCCUGAAAGGUCUGGGUAAUCUUUUGAACGUGCAUCGUGAUAGGGAUAGAUUAUCGCAAUUGUUAAUCUUGAACGAGGAAUUCCUAGUAAACGCGAGUCAUCAGCUCGCAUUGAUUACGUCCCUGCCCUUUGUACACACCGCCCGUCGCACCUACCGAUUGAAUGGUUCGGUGAAGAUCUCGGACUUCGAUAUUUAUUCUUUAUUGAGUUUAUAUUGUGGGAAGUUAUCUAAACCUCAUCAUUUAGAGGAAGGUGAAGUCGUAACA
rnacentral:rRNA from 1 species